rnacentral:rRNA from 1 species
UACGGAGGGAGCUAGCGUUGUUCGGAAUUACUGGGCGUAAAGCGCGCGUAGGCGGCUUUGUAAGUUAGAGGUGAAAGCCCGGGGCUCAACUCCGGAAUUGCCUUUUAAGACUGCAUCGCUAGAAUUGUGGAGAGGUAAGUGGAAUUCCGAGUGUAGAGGUGAAAUUCGUAGAUAUUCGGAAGAACACCAGUGGCGAAGGCGACUUACUGGACACGUAUUGACGCUGAGGUGCGAAAGCGUGGGGAGCAAACAGG